rnacentral:ncRNA from 1 species
AUUGAAGCGAUGAUAGGGAAGAGUAGAUUGUGAAACCCACAGAGAGGGGGAUCAUUUGGUAAUCACCAUUUGCUGUGAGAUUCUCUGGGUGGUAGCAGUUGAAGGUAGCCCUGGAGCUGCUUUAGCGAACCUCAGCUUUGAGUAGUAGUUGAAGCCGAUGAUCUACGUUACAGAUGUGAAGUGAACGAACCAGUCUUUCUUUGGCUGUGGCGUUAAUAAAGGUGGUACCGCGAAUCCUCGUCCUUUAG